rnacentral:tRNA from 1 species
GGGCAUGUGGUGUAAAUGGUUAGCACGUUCCAGUUAAUUCUGGAAAGGUCUUGGUUCGAAUCCGGCAUGCCAA